rnacentral:rRNA from 1 species
CGCGUAGGCGGCCUUGCAAGUCGGGUGUGAAAUCCCUCGGCUCAACCGAGGAACCGCACUCGAUACUGCCGGGCUAGAGUCCGGGAGGGGAUGGUGGAAUUCCCAGUGUAGCGGUGAAAUGCGUAGAUAUUGGGAAGAACACCGGUGGCGAAGGCGGCCAUCUGGACCGGUACUGACGCUGAGGCGCGAAAGCUAGGGGAGCGAAUGGGAUUAGAUACCCCGGUAGUCCUAGCUGUAAACGAUGGGCACUUGAUGUGGCAGGUUCUGACCCCUGCCGUGUCGAAGCUAACGCGUUAAGUGCCCCGCCUGGGGAGUACGGUCGCAAGGCUGAA